AGCACGCUCCUUAAAUCCACCUACAGAGCUAUCUUUGAUAGAUCAGCAACUUUACCGUUGUACAUUGUUGGUGCUUGAGUCAUAAGUGUGCAUAUAUCAUACUUGCAGUUCGGACACUUGCUUGAGUCAUUUUGACCUCUUGCUUGUUCGCUCUGCGAACAUU
rnacentral:snoRNA from 1 species